AUAAUGGGUCAGCGACUUAUAUUCUGUAGCAAGGUUAACCGAAUAGGGGAGCCGAAGGGAAACCGAGUCUUAACUGGGCGUUAAGUUGCAGGGUAUAGACCCGAAACCCGGUGAUCUAGCCAUGGGCAGGUUGAAGGUUGGGUAACACUAACUGGAGGACCGAACCGACUAAUGUUGAAAAAUUAGCGGAUGACUUGUGGCUGGGGGUGAAAGGCCAAUCAAACCGGGAGAUAGCUGGUUCUCCCCGAAAGCUAUUUAGGUAGCGCCUCGUGAAUUCAUCUCCGGGGGUAGAGCACUGUUUCGGCAAGGGGGUCAUCCCGACUUACCAACCCGAUGCAAACUGCGAAUACCGGAGAAUGUUAUCACGGGAGACACACGGCGGGUGCUAACGUCCGUCGUGAAGAGGGAAACAACCCAGACCGCCAGCUAAGGUCCCAAAGUCAUGGUUAAGUGGGAAACGAUGUGGGAAGGCCCAGACAGCCAGGAUGUUGGCUUAGAAGCAGCCAUCAUUUAAAGAAAGCGUAAUAGCU
rnacentral:rRNA from 1 species